UCGCUAUGGUGAGGAUCCGCAUCCAGCUCCCCGGCGCGGAGCUGGCGCGGGUGCGGUUCGCGAUCUCGCCGGUGUACGAGACGGUGAUGGCGCU
rnacentral:tRNA from 1 species